UAGCCGCCUCCCCAUCUGCCGCCCCGCCCGACCCGCUCACCCCGCCGCUCCGCCCGUCCCGCUCGCCCCCUUCCCAGCCGCUCACCCCGCCCGUCAGCUCGCCGUGGCCGAUGACCACGCCACCAGAGACCGCGGACCUUGGCGCAGGCCUGUGCUCCCGAGUGGUGGUCCCUCCUCGUUGCCACCCCUCUCCUCUGCCCUGUGUCGGAUCCGAGGCGUGCGGGCGCGGAGGCGAGCUUCUCCAGCGGUGGCCGCCACCCUCUCGUCUCCUCAAUCCUCUUCAUAUCAUCCCGCGUUCUCGAUCUACGCCGCCACGUGCUGUGGUUCUGGAUUGGGCGCAGGCUGCCGCCAUUGGAGAGUAGCGGCGGUGAGGUCUUUAGCUCGGGUGCGAGGAGCAGGGGGGUGAGGUGGACGGUGUUGUGGCGAAGAAAUGAUUGAUGCGGUCGGCAGCGAGCGCCGGUGAGCGACGAGGAUGCUACCAUCUCUCCUAUAUCCUCCCAGAUUCUCGAUUGGACCGGGGGACAGACGCCGCCACAGGCCACCGGGGACGCCUCUGCAUUGUCGUCGGCUGGACGAGGAAAACAGCAAGAUGCUGGCCUAUGCAUCGGACGUGGGCUGCUUCAGCUUUAGGGGAGAUUUGACUAUGGCGCAAGGUCCCCCACUUCCUUGUUGUGGCACUGCAGCGUCAUGGGCCCUUCUGAAGGGAGAGGGAGGCACAUCGGAGGGUGGUAGCAGGUGCGUCUUGCUAAAGCAACCAGUGGUUGUCGUGGCCUGAAGCAGCAAGUAUUGUGGAGAUUGAUGGACUAGGUGCUUGCAGCCGCAGUCCAUCGCGCUCUCGGUUGCUGACCUUGAGGUCCAGCGGCAACUGCCCGUCACUUAGGGGAUGCUUCUAAGCUGCAAUGCUCCAUAUCCGAUGCAAUAUAUUUCUGCUUUAUUGAAGAGGACUAACUUGUGCUGGGAAAGAUUCCUGAAGGUGAUGUCAGAUCAUUGGUAAAUAACAAGGAAUCCUUGGAACCUGUCAUCCUGUAGUAUUUGUCUGCGAUAGGUAUGCAUUCUGUACAGCUAAGCAGAGUAUUCCAGAUUGAGUAAUGCUAGAGAUACAAACAUAUUAUAUACUCCCUCCUUCCAUCUAUAUAGGGCCUAAUGCAUUUUUUAAGACCGCGUUUGACUAUUGACAAGAUUAAUAGUACAUGACAUGCACAAUGUGAAAAUUAUAUCAUUGAAAGCUCCUUUCACACACGAAUUUAACGACGUGCUUUGUGUAAGUUGCAUGUCAUAUAUUGUUGCUCUAAUAUUUGGUCAAAGUUAGCCUUGAAAAACACAUUAGGCCCUAUAUAGAUGGAAGGAGGGAGUAUACAUUUUAAUGCUUUAGCUUCCAUAGUGAGAGCAAGUUGCAAGACCAGAUGCCAUGCGGUCUUACUGCGAGCUCGUCCAGUUCAUGGUGACUUGGUGAUGACUCAAAUCCACCUACCUCUUUCUCUCCGUGUCUCCUUUUGUUGCUGUUUGUUGGAACUUUGGAUUGCGCUGGCUUGAUGGCUGUUUCGGAUUAAUCAAAGGAUUUUGUUUAGCUUAGUUUCAUUACGGGCAAGACUAAGAUAGUCGUUCUUUAGUGUGGGUUAAAUUAAUCAGGGGAUUUGAAGAACGGUUCAAUUGAUCUGUACUAAGCAAACCUGUGUGCUUGCAAUCACGUAUGGUUUUAGCCAUGUUGCUGCUAGAAAGCUUCCUUCAAUUGAACCGAUCUUCUCAGUAGCUAAUGGAGCGCAUUGGCAGGAACAGAGUGGCCAACUGAAUCUGAUAGUCUGGUUUCUUUGUACUCAUAUCUUGUAGAGUAGUUUCCUAACUGAUUGUUUGGCAACAAGUAUUUUGAAGAACUCAAACUCAUGGUAACAAAUGAACUAGCAAAGAGAGCCAUUUAUACCUCUCUUCUGUAAGAUAAUCCCGUGAAGGACACACACAUAAAAGCCAUGAAGGAUGAAGAAAGAAUUAUUGAUCUAUUAUUAUGUUUCUUCUUUGCAAAUAUAUUGCUAUGGUUGUUAGCGAUGUAUACGCCCGAGUGGGCUAAUGUAUAGUUGUAUUGGUUUAGCUUAUCGACCUUGCCGCGUUCAUGUUUUUAUUUCCUUUUGUUCAUGAUGAUUGUUUUUUUUGUGCAGACCUAGAUUGUAGGAUUGCAUGAGUUGGGGCUUGCGAUUGCCCAUUGUGGUGCACAGGUAGAUUGUAGGAUGUACUUGCCGAAAUGAGCAUGGUCGCCAUGCUAAUUGUUCAAAUAUUCUAUGGUUAUUUCAGUGCUUAUCUCAGUUACUUGAUUUCUUUUGCAGUACUGCCAGGGGUGGCUGUUUGUUUACUGCAGGGGGUGUUGAUCUGCUGCCCCAUUAUUUGAUUACAUGUUUGAUGCUCUCCAAAAAAUGCUACAAAGAAUCAUAAGAAACUUCUCGUGAUAGAUUUACCAUUAGGGAUAUUGCCAAAUGUUUACUUCUAAUUCAUUAGCAUAUCCUCUGUUUUUUUUAAUUAAUUGUUGCCUCCUGUUUUUUGUUUAUCUUAGCCUUCUGGUGCUUUUGGUGUAUGGGCAAAACAGGUCAGAGUACAAAGUGGUGAAUUGCAUUUCACAUGCCAAGAUAAACAAAGAAUAAAAAAAGAAAACAUGGUAUUCUCUAACACAAGAGCAUGAUACCUUGGGUCCAUUGGUGCAGACCAAGAGAUAAGAACUACUUAUGCUGCAAUAGUUUCAGUGGAAGUAUAGUCAGGUGUUUAAUUGUUUUUUUACAGUUUUAGCUAAUUGGCUGGGUAUCCACUUUAUCUUUUGUGCUUGCACAUAUAAUCGAUUCUCUGGUCCAUACUUGCAUGUUCUCUAAUUAUCUUGGAGUGCUUGCAAGUAAUUAGAACAUAUCUUGGUCCAUACUUGCAUUAGAAUAUGCCACAUAGAAGGAUGUGGCAUAUCUUGGAAUAAGAAUGGCCACACGAGCAUUUUGUCAUGAUAUUGUAAUGAGUGGUCGAUACUUGUGGCAGUGCUACAAUGGUGCUAUGUUGCAUGUUUGCACAAGAUGCCUGUAAAUUCUUGAUCUUCGUCGUGCCUCCUGCUUACUAUUAGUUCAAUUGAGCCCAAUCUUUCUGGUCGUAUUGCUACGCGCUUAUGAUUAGUUGCUCUAUUUCUUGGUUGUUGUAUUGUAGGAUAGGGAGGCAGAAGAGAGGACAUGCCGGGGAAUGAAGGAGAACAAACAGUGUCUCAGGCACACAAGCUAAAGGUUCACCAAGUUCUGGGAAAGAAAAGUUUCCCUAGACAUGUGGCGGUGGCUGUCAAGACAAGAGCGGCGCUGUGAGCGACAGCCCUCGAUCGUCUUCCUUGUGGAAUCAGGUACGCGUCGUCCAUCAUGGGUGUUGGCGGGUGGCCGGAGGCGGCUACAUCAGGCCAGUGUCCGUGAUCAAGACUGACACCGGGAAGGCUGCCGGUAUGUAGUAUGCUCCUCAUCUCCUCCAACUUAUGUUUUGGUAGCACGUCUCCAUCAUUGUCUACAGUUGUGCACUCAAUUCAAAUGAUUAUUCUCCGUUCUUUGCCUCAGAACUACAUAUGAGAGGUACAAAGGGUUGGCCAAGAUACUCAAUUAAGCUAUUCGAUUUAAGGUAUACUUCUAUCGCUUCCUUCUAUCCUUUUUGUUCAACUUCUCAUGUGUAUUGUUAGCUUUUUCUCAAGCUUUUUUUUAAUCUAGAACCUCAAAUAUAAGUACAUUUUGCUGAUUAGUGAGUAAAUCAACCGGCAAUAGUUGGUAUAUAUUUGUUGUAGGUUUGAUGUCACCUAUUCAUUCUUUUUCUUUUUGAGAUGCUUUGUCUUUACAAUGCAGCAUUUGUUUCUUCAUAACUAUAUUACCGCUUACAUUGCUGGCAAUGGGAACUAAAGAAAUCUUUGAGGCUACUUGUGAAGCUCUAUUGUUGAUGCCAGAUUUGUACAUUUGAGUAGUGUUAUAUCCAUGUAUAAAUGCAGACUUCGUUGAAGCUAUAUUUUAUAAACCAAUCAGCCAUGUUUUUUCUUUGCUGCUGCGGUUGCCAUGUGUCACGUAGUUAUAUGUGCGUGUUCAUAAUUAUAAUUGCACUUUGUCUCCCUUUGCAGGUGUGAUAUAUGUGUGUUCAUAAUUAUAUGUUAGUCCUAAUUUUCAAAUCAUGCCCACAGCUUGUGGAGUGUUAAAAUCUAAUAUCUCUAAUUUCCGCAUCAAGCUAUGGUUCCCCUGUUUAGCAUUUACUUUCUAUUAAUUGCUUUGAUUUAAUGUUUAAGAUUUUUGCUUUACCGAUGUUUGAUCUAGAUUAGCAAUAAAACACACUCAAAAUUAGGUGUUCUUCCUUGGUUAGCUGUCUGCAUUUCUUAUGUUGGAUUGGUUCAGGCCAGGGUGUAUCGCUCUUUUUCCUUGCCUUUCACAGGUCCUUUGCUGAUGUUGGUUGUGUCCUUGCUGCUUGGAGAGGGGGUGAGGGCAGAGGACUUUGAUGCCAGAAAUAGGUGAGUAUUUUCAGGUCCACUACACCAAAGAAAAGCUGAAAGAGUACAUCAAACCAGAUGAUGACACACUCAAGGUCAAGCUCGCAAACAGCAGUCUGCACACCAGUUGUCGUAUCAUGCUGGGAACAGACAAGAGAGCCACAAUAACCAGAAACUGGUCAGAGUUCUGCCACCGUGCAAACAUCCAUGAAGGAUGUAUCUGCGCCUUUUGUUUCAAGGUUACCGUAGAGCACCGCCUGACUCUCAUCGUCCAUGUUCUCUAGACGGACCAUCUACAGCAACCCAUGCCUUUUGCAUGCAUAGCCUGUCGUCUUAAGAUCUAAUUUGCCUCUAUGAUAAGAUGAACCUUACCUGUGGUUGCCGACGAUGCCAUACGUUGCUUUUGUACAACUGCUGGUGAUAUUAUAACCUAUGUAACCCCAGUUAUUAUUACCCGGCAGCACAUCCAUCUAUUGAUCUUACGUAUGAUUUUCUA